GCUACCCCUCAGCCAAUGGCCGGAGAGCCCGCCCGUCGCCAGCCAAUGGGAAGGCGGCACUCCCCGCCGCCAGCAAAUAGGCGCGGGGGGGCGGGCGUUGGAGUAACGCUCGGAGCGGCGGCGAUGGCCCCGGAGCGCGGUGACCGCUCGCUCCCUGGCGGUACCGAGGGUCUUCCCCGGGUUUUCCUGCAGAGCCUGCGAACUCUUUUCGAUAUCCUGGACGACCGGCGGCGGGGUUACGUGCACCUGCGGGAGAUCGAGUCGCGCUGGCGGGGAACGGAAGCCCAGGAGCUGCCUGCCGGUGUGAUGGAGGGGUUGCGGCAGGCGGCGCCGGCCAGCGGGUACCUCACCUUCGAGAGGUUCGUCCUGGGGCUGCGGGCGGCUCUGCCUGGGGCUGAGCCCCCGAUGGAGGGUGUCAGCGGCGGACGGCGGAGCGUAGAGAAGCCACCAAGCCCUCGCUGUUCCGAAGAGCGGCGGGGGAAGAACGCCGGGCAGCGGGAACCGGGGCAGGGCCAGCCCCGAGGCCGCGGUGAUGAUGCAAAGUCUGCUGGGCAGUUCCAGGGAGACAGUGGCCACCCAGAGGCUGGGGACACUCGGAGGCAUCAGAGAGGCCGUGCAGAACACCGGAGACACACCAUCACCAAUGGUGUGGACUUCAGCAUGCUGAAGUACAUGAAGGAGCUGGAACAGGAGAAGGAUGUCCUGUUGCAGGGCCUGGAGCUUAUAGACCGGGCUCGAGCGUGGUACUGCCAGCACAUCCAGCUCAUGCAGGAGCACCAGCGGCUCCUGGGGAAGAAGAGGACCAGUGCUGAUUUCGCUGAGGGUGGCCAGAGUCACCUGGGGCGCCUGGUGCCCAAGCUUCAGGAGGUGAACCGCUGCCUGGGUGACCUUCUUUCCACUGCUGGCAAGGCAGCAAACCCCUCCUCAGCCCUGAGCAGGCUGGUGCCUGUAACAUCCCCAGCCUCCACAGGCUCCCAGCAAGCCAUCAACAUGCUGAAGGAACAGAAUCGGCUUCUCACUAAGGAGGUGACUGACAAGAGUGAGCGCAUCACCCAGUUGGAGCAGGAGAAAUCUGCCCUGAUCAAGCAGCUCUUUGAGGCUCAUGCCAACAACAACCAUGAGAUGAGCCAGCUGGACUCCACCUUCAUCUAGCACAUGCCUCCCCCACCCCAUCCCCAAACUUCCUCGGGGUUUUCAAGGGAUUCUUGCUCCAAACUAAUCACACCCACUGCUCCAGCCCAUCUACUGCUGCCAGCCCUGAAGUCCCUGACUGUCCUGUCUCUCAGAAUGCAGGGGGAGCUGAAGCUGCAAUCUGGUGAGCAUACAAAGAGCCCGGGGGGCUCUGCACCUGGAUAUGUUUCUAUGUCCUUUCCCAUCACCUCUGGGCUUCCCAGGGACUGGGGAUGCCCUGUCCCCUGCUGUGGGGCAGGGUCUUAAACCCACCUGCACCCCUUCCAAGUGCUGUAGCUUCAUCUGUCUAUUCCUCCAGAAGCUGUGCUGGGGCUCACACUGCUAAGGCAGUGCUGGUGCAAUUCACAACCUCUUACUUGCUUUUAAGUAACCUUUCUCAGAGCUGCCCCAUAGAGGUGGCAACACUGGCUGGUGUUCUGCAGUAGCUCCUUUCAGGGUCAGUCACAGGGGACCUCAGUGGCAUGGCAUGUGUAGCAAGUGUCCCUCUGCCCUAUACUGAGAUGGCAACUCAGUGAACCUGUGCUGACUAGGGAACCCUCCUUCCAUCGGCUGUGGGGUGAAACCUGCACCCUGCAGAGGUUGAGCCUUCCCUGCUGGGAGCGGAGCCAAAAGGGAGACCCCAGUUCACUUACUGGCACCUGGUGGAGGGAUCUCUGCCAUGGCCUGUUCCAGGUGCUGCUUAGGGCAGCCACUAGUUCCAGAUGGGGCAGGAAGAGGGUUGCUAAUUGCCCUUGGUUCCCAUUUCAUGCCUUUGCUUGGGUGUGGAGCCCAUGAGGGCUUCCAAAGGAAAAAGAGAGUCACAGUUCCCGCUCCAGGCUGCUCCAUGCAGAGCCACGGCAGCUCUCUCUGUCUCCCAGCCCUUGCCAGCAGCACUGGCCCCCACCCUGCUUUCUGUGAGACUGCUGCAGGUUGCAGGGUAGCUCUGGCAGUGCCAGGGCCCACUGGGACCAAGUUUCUCCUGGAAACUGCAGGGCUCACCUCAGGCUGUCACUCUGGCCUGCCCACACUGUUUCUAGGUCCCUGAUGAGCCUGACCCUCCCCUGCGGGUCUGUGCUGUGUCCACUUUGGUGCACUUAACUGCGGGGGCUGGCUCAGGGGCCAUGUGACCUGCAUUUGAGGCCAGGUCUGAUAGUGAUGUGUAUGCUGGGACAUGUAGGUGAACACCUUCCAUUCUCUUCAGGCCUUUUCCUGCUGGAACUGGGUUUGCAUAGAUCUGUGGUGCCUACAGGGCCCUGAUAACUGCUGGAGCCCACUGUGAGACAUAAACUUUGAAGAAUUCAAGAUUUUAGAGAAACUGAGGCCUUAAUUAAAAAUAAGCAUUGCUUAAUCUAAUUUAAAAAAAAAAUAAAUAGACGGGCCUUACUAAAAUUAAAGGUAGUUAGAGAGGCUUUGCUAAAAUUAGAGGUUAAUCAUUGGCUAAUAACUGUCUGUCAACUUUAUGCUUGUUCAGCUGGGCUUAUAAGGAGAAACAAAGAGUCUGGUAAAGAACUUCAAGAACAUAAGACAAUUGCAAAUCAGAAACCCAUUGAAGACAUGAAACUAGGAGCCCAGCCAAGGGUCCGUUUCUCACUUUGCAUUGAAAAGGUAGAAAGGUCAGAACGAGGAAGAGCCAUAUCCCUUCCCUCCCUUUUGUGACCCCUGCUCAUGAUAAGACCACCGACCCAUUUCAAAGAACAAACUACACAUGCUUAAUUGUUUUUUUUUAAAUUAGCAUAAGAAGCAGAGAGUGGGUGGCAACUGGGUUAUGAAUAUGUGUUUGUAUUUAAUAUUUUUGUAAAUAAAAAGCCUGUAUUCACCUGUAUUUGGGGCCGUGUGUAUUAAGGGGAGACCCAGCACUGGUCCAGCACUGGCCCAGAGUUGCUAAUAAACAUACACUUUUUAACCCUAAAAUGGUUAAAGAGUCUUUGUCCGUCUCAAUUGGAUAUUGAUACUAGAUCGUAUCCAUAUUUUGGUAAAUCAGUUGUGUCUGUUAGACAAAGCAGCAUGUUAAUCCCAGUGCAAGGUGCUGCCUUCUCUGCAAAUCCCCUCAAUCAGAGUCCAUUGCAACACAGCAGACUGCAAAGCCCUGGUGUCAUGAUUCCCAUGCCACAGGCACUUCAGUUUGCUCAAGGGGCUUUGGGUAAUCACGUGCUGGCACCUCCAGAGCCCCCACCCUGGUUUGAUGCUCAUGAUGCUGAGAGGAGUGUCAGGGAGCAAUCCUGCUGGAGAAGGGUGAUGGCCAGGAAAGGUGAUGAAUCACUGUCCAGGUGCUCAGGUUGUGAGACUACUUGUGUCAUGGACAUCUUCCUGUGCCACAGACACCUCCUUGUGCCACAUGCCAGGGAUGAUACCCUUUAGCUCUGACUUGGCUUUGAAGGAGGAGGAUGGAAGCUAUUUGGGGCUCAAGCCUUCCCACCCACGUAGCCCUUGCUGUGCUCCCCUUGCCAUCAGAUUCCCUGUCCAGGUCAGACUUCAUCCAGGUGUCUUCAGCACCCUUGUCCUACUUCUGGCUUCUCACUCCAUUCUCGCCAGUUCUUUUUUCCUUGGAGACUCAGCCUUGCCAGCUGCCAGGUAAAUCACAACAGCCUCUGGAGACCCUCAGGGGGCUUUUCUCCACCAAGGUCCUGCUCCAGUUGCUCUCUGUGUUGCAGCUGACCUGUUCACAGCCUGAUUUUCUUUAACUCAUUUCUUUUCAUUAAUUUCCCAGACCCAUCCUAUCUGUUUGAGAUCUUUGCUUGACUUAGCUGUGUUUGACUGAACAGGUUCACACCUGCUCAGGAUACGGGAAGAAAGAACCAAGGCCAAGGGCAACAGCAGUCACAGCUGUGCCACAGCCUGAAAUUCACCGGCCUGUCACCUUGUUCAGGGAACGACUGUAAAACUGUAUUUCUUUGGGGAACAUAUUGGUUGUCUGUGGGAAAUCCAGUCUACCACAAAGUAGAUGGAGGAGUCCUUCAACUUUAUUCAAAUAAAGGGGAAGAGUCUACUGCGCCACACCCCUGUGGGAUCUCUCUCGAGGUAUCACAGGACGUAGCCUCCUUUUCUCCUAAGCUACCGGCUCCUGUUCACUGGGGUUGUUCUGCCUGGUAUAACUAAUCCAACCUGUUGCCAUUUUUAUUACUUUGCAGAAGAAAAUACCUACACACAGAGUGCCAUGGGCUGUAGAAGCAGCCAGGGGGAUGCUGUGCAGCCAGACGAACCUGUUCUGGUGGAUAGCUGGAUUUAGGGAGCGGGAGCAUAAUUGCCAGGAGCAGCAUGAUUUGCUUUGGUUCUUCUAGCAUCCUACGGGUUUGAGAUUCCACAGCUCUGAGACAGGAUUCCUUCAAGGCAAGGCAGCAAGUUCUGCAGGAAAAGAGUUGAUUUAUAUGUUGGAUAUGACAGAGCCUUUUCUGAUGGGUAAGUUAUGUAGGCAUCACGUGCUUUGAAAGACCCGCACUCAUUUGCAUAUGGGGCAGGCAGGGCAUGCAACCACAACAGGGAGAGAUUUCAUGUAAAGGGGAGCAGAGGGAGAAGUUUCAAACCCCCAAGGCUCUUCUGAGCAGGAGCUUUGUCAAGUAACACUUUGUCAAGUAAUAAAAUAAGAAACAGAAUGUGAAACAGAAGUUUUGACAACUCCCAGGGAUUCCUCCUGACCUGAUGGUCACAUCUGGAUGGGGUCUAGCUUCCCUGACUCCAGUCACAUGCAGGGAGAUGGCUGUGUCUGAGCUGCUGUGUGUUUUCUCAUGUUCUCCUACCCAGCUUGGCUCUGACUGCAGGCAGGAUGGCUAUUGUGAGUAAGGGAGAAUCACAGCCUGUGGGUGAGGAUUUUACUAUGCUCAUGAGCACAAAGUUUAAACAAAGUUGUUCUUUGGCAUUUUAGUUCGAUUUAUAGUGUCCUCCUGCUCUUUGCUUCUCAGUUCAUGGCUCUUGGUUCCUGCAGAACCCUUCAUCAUUCCUUCAUCUUUCAUGAUUUCUUUUAUUUGUCCUUGAAUUUGUCCUGUACUACUUCAGUAAUUCCAUGCAGUUUUAACUCUUAUCCUUCUCAUUGGUACUUCAUUUAAAAAAUGGGGAACUGGAUUUGUGAGCAGGUGGCUUGAGUCUGGGGUACAGCUGGGACUAUCCAACUCCUUCUUCGCUGAGGGAACCCUGAGACCUUGCAAUGUUUCCAAGUGUGAAUGUAAGACGGGGCACUGAGACCUCCUGGCACAGGUCGCACCAGGACCCAAGGGUCCCAUCAGACACACCUCAUGCCAGACACAGGACCAUGGCCACUGUACAGCAGAGGUUUGGCCACAGGGUCCAAUUUUCAAGAAGAGCAAGAAGAAGACUACAGUCCUGUUCAGUGUCACUUCAGCGCAUGGUAAAGCUAUGGAGAAGCUUAUUCUGGGAGUUACUGAAAAACACCUGAAAGACAACAUAGUCACUGGUCACAGUCAGCAUGGCUUCAUGAAAUUGCUUAUCAAACCUAAUUUCCUUUAUGGCAAGGUAGCCACCUGGUUGAUCAAGGAAAGCCAGUUGAUGUAAUCUUUUUGGAUUUCAGUAAAGUUUUUGAUACUGUC